GCUGGUUCUGCUGGGGCCUGGGUGUUCAUUUGUCACCUGGGCUCCCUCCCAGCUACUGAACUUCUCUCAGGUGUAUUCCUAGUUCCUGACAUUCCUUUAAAACUACCGAAUUCUUCUCUCAGCCCCCUGGCAAAUGGGGCUUUGCAGCCUGGGGGAGUUACUGCAAAACGGGGUCCAGUGAAGUGCUCUGCAGGAGUGGUUGUGCCCCUGAGUGGUCAUUUAAUUGUCCCCUCUAAUGAGGGAAAUGUGAUUAAACUCCCGGUGCUGUGCUGCUGUUGUGUGUCGGCCUCGAGGUGUGAGACAGUCCCGGUAUCACACUGGAGUUGCUCAGUGGCUGUGCUGAGACUGGGACAGGUCUUGUUGGUCAGGAACAAAAGGGAAAAUUUAUCUUUUGGCUUGCUUAAUAUCUUGGCUUUAUUAAUGUAUCAAUGUCAAUUUUUGUCAUUUGCUGCCUCCUGCACAGUGUGUUUGCAGCUCUGUGUGAGAGCAGACUCUCCCCUGUUGGGGAGUGAGACAAUCCUGGAAUAUCCUGAGCUGGAAGGGACCCCCAGGGAUCACCCAGUCCCACCCUUGUCCCUUCCCAGACCCCCCAACAACCCCAGCCUGGGCAUCCCUGGCAGCACUGUCCAAACGCUCCUGGAGCUCUGGCAGCCUUGGGGCCGUGCCCAUUCCCUGGGGAGCCUGGGCAGUGCCCAGCACCCUUUUGGGAAGAACCUUUCCUGAUCUCCAGCCUAACCCACCCCUGGCCCAGCUCCAGCUGCUCCCUGGGUCCUGUCCCUGUCCCAGGGAGUGAAGAUCAGAGCGGGAGGCCCCGAUGUGUUCUGACCUCACACUUCUCUACCAGAACAAACCCAGUGCCCUCAGCAGCUCUUUCAUGGUCCUUCCACACCCUUCCCCAUCCCCAUGUUCCUUCUUUGGAUGCUGUCAGCUUUUUCUCUUUUGUAUAUUGUGGCACCCAAAAGUGCCCCCAGGACUCCAGUACAGUUUAACAGCAAUGAAAGAAAACAGUAGAUUUCAACUUUGAUCUCAAAAGCUGUCUCAGGUCCCUGAUACUUCCUCGAAAUGUCUUUGCAGUUCUUGCUUUAUGACUUGUGUCAAACACGGAGAGAGUGAGACUGAGCCCCUGGGGUCAGUUUUUGUUUGAGAAGCCACACAGCAACCCAGAAAAAUAAUUUGUAUUUAUAUGUUUAGCAUUCUUCCCAGUUCUAGUAAGCUGAACUUGAUAAAACACGAUGAAACCCCAGUGAAAUAUGAGUUGGAUUUCUAGGACAUCUUUUUAGGAAGCUGGAAUGUGCAAAUGCUUUUGCGUGGUUGCGACCCAGCUCUUUAAUGAGAAGAUGCCACAUUUCUGUCUGUACAAACCAUAGAGUUUGCUUCCUGGGGGCUUUGUAGGUAAAGAGCUGCAGCAGAAACCUGGCCCGAAAUUCCAUUGGCCCAUGGCAGGGUGGCACUUGCACACCAGUUGCUUCUGUGGCUGCUGGCGGGCGCGUUGUGCCCCAGGGUUUUCCAGCGGGGGUGCUGCCGUGUGGGAUGUGACUAAGGACACGUGUGACCUGCGCCUCACUGACGGAGACAGCAGCUCCUGGCAUCUUCUGAUGCCUGGCAGCAGGGCCUCUGUGACCAGGUGAUGGUGGAACUGCUGUCAUUUUGUCCCCCACUGCAUUAUCAGCGCUUAGGAGAAGUGCCAAAGCUGCUCAUGACUAUUGCUGCUGCCUCCCUCCCUUCCCUUCCUGCUCAUCCCCUUGGUUUGGGAGUUUUGUAAUCAUUACUGCUCUUACUCUUUGCUCCAGAUCACCAGAAAUUUACAGUGUUGAGGGCGGAAAUACUGAGAGUUGAGUCUUGGGAGCUGAGCCAGGAAAGCAGCACCUCUGCCAUGGGCAGAUCGGGCACGUGGAGAGAGCUCGAGCAGCUUCCAAGAGGCCCCAGCAAUGUGUGUGUGGAGCUGGGAGGAGCAGGAGUUGCAGUGUCGUGUUUGGAAUCCCCCUGGGUGAGGAUGUAGGAAUAGACUGGAGUUUUUGGUGACUGAGGUUUCUUUUCUGUGGCAAUAAUUGUUCUUGGCCACAUAAUUUCGGUUUGUUACUCACCUGUGGUUUGUUCUACAGGCCUAUUUUACACAUCUAGAUGUGUAUAAGAGACAGGCCUGGGACAGUGGAAGGUGUCCCUGCCCUUGGCAGGGGUGGCACUGGAUGGGCUUUAAGGUCCCUUCCCACCAAGGCUUCGCCUUCCUUUGCCUUCAGUGUCUGCCUCAGAGUUUGUACCAAAACCAAAGUGAAGUUGGUGUCACCUUCUCUAAACUGGGAGAACAGAUCACUCCAAGCUGUGGGGAGAUGGAGAGGCUGUAGGAUGGAGAGGGAGCAUCUGGAAACGAGUCAAGAAACUUUAACAGAUUCCAUUUAGCUAGAGCAGGGUUAGAUAUUAGUGAAAUAUCUUGCUAACUGUGUUAAACUAAGAAAAUAAGCAAUCAAGUUCAUAGAAUUGCAAAACUCAGGAUGAAAGAACUCGUGUGGCAGUUAUUCUUCUCUUGCAGGAUGGUUCCUUCUGUGCAAUCACUAAUGACUGACGAGACCCUCUGCAGCUUGUGAAAUGACAGGGCUGCUGUCAGUGCUUAGGAAAUCCAAGUGCACAGCCCCUGCUCCUUCCUUGUCACCGAGCCGCUCUCGUGAGCGCAGUCAGCCCCAAGUGCUGAACUUGUGCUGUUCUCUGCCUGUGGCUCUCUCCUGCAGGGAUCCAGGUUUAUUCUCUUUUUAGCUGCUUGCACUAGAUGCCCAUAUUCCAGCUGAAUUAACACUUCCCAGUCUGGAGCAGUGCUGGUGCUCUGAGGUGACCGUGUGCCGUGCUCAGAGCUCGGCGUGGCACAGCUCCCUGGGGCUGGGCCAGUCUCAGACGUGCGGCCAAAAUUCUGUGUUUCCUGGAGCUGGGAGGUUGUUUGCCUCGUGCACUCAUGUCUCAUUCGGUGUCUGCCAUCUCCCCAGGCUCUCAGACCUUUACUACUUUCCAAGUUUCUUUCUUCAGCUCCAUCUUUCAAACGCCUCUUUUCCCUAACACUGCCACUUCUCCCCAGUGCUUGGAGUUCCUCAGGUUGUCCUGUCUCUUGUUCUUACUUGGUUCAUUAAUUCUUGCUGAUGAAUGUAAAACCUGGGUUAUUAACUGCCAGUAGCACCAGGUACCAGCAGGAAAAAAUAUCUCUUUGCACUCCAUACUGUACAAACAUGGAAUAAGGGAAGUUCUUGCCCUGAAGUCUUGAACUAAUUUUCUUCUGUUAACAGCUCAUUAAGAGAAAUCUUCCUGCUCAUCUUUUCAUGGAAAACAACACGUCAUGAGGCAGCUCAGAGCCCCCUUUUACUGAUUUUUUUUUUUUUAACAGUUCAUCUUCGUUUUUAUUCAUGUCACAACAUUUAUUGAUAAAUUUCUUGAAUGUGCUGCUUUCAUGUUUUAUAAUUAAACA
rnacentral:lncRNA from 13 species